rnacentral:rRNA from 1 species
UACGUAGGGGGCGAGCGUUAUUCGGAUUUACUGGGCGUAAAGCGCGUGUAGGCGGCUGGUUAAGCGUGAUGUGAAAUCUCCGGGCUCAACCCGGAACUGCAUUGCGAACUGGCCUGGCUGGAGUGCAGGAGAGGUAGUGGAAUUCCCGGUGUAGCGUGAAAUGCGUAGAUAUCGGGAGGAACACCAGUGCGAAGGCGACUACCUGGCCUGUAACUGACGCUGAGACGCGAAGCGUGGGAGCAAACCGG